AUUCCACCGUUUAAUUCAACUAUUAGGGUUUCAUUCUUGCGAGUCGCUCAAUGUAGAGAUGUCUAACAGUGAUGAUUCUAAAUAUUGAUUUCCCUUGGUUAGUUGAUGCAGUAGCCAGUAUCUUAAUCCGUUAUAUUAUAUUAACGCGCUGAUUACAGAGAGGGAGGGGCAAGAUGAGCAUUGUAGCAGGAUCAUAUGAGAAAUUCAUAUGGGAAUUCAAACUCAAAAACCUGAAAAAGUCCCAAACCCUAACCUCUAAUCCCGCUCUUGUCCUAUCCCUCCCACCUCUCUUCCAUCCAGUCUGUUGCUGUGGCUGGCCCCGUCGCGGCCUCCGGCGGCGCUGAUGACUCCGUCAAGAUCUAUGACCCAACCUCGUGCUCCGAGAUCGGAACCAUAACUGAUCACUCCGGCGCUGUCACCUCCCUCACCUUCUUUUGCCCCUCCUCCCUCUCAUUUCCCCGCAAGCUCCUGUCGGCCCCCGAUGACGGCUCCGUCGGCAUCUACGACGCUGACCCCUUCGUCCACCUCACGAUCAUCGCCUCAUCAUAUGAAAUCAUUGCGUUGUGAUGAUGAAGCCCGUGUUUGGAGCAUUUGGCAUGGCUGGAAACGCAGACUCCAUUGCUUUUAUCAGCAAGGCAUGCCCGGCC